UGUGAGCUCGAUGAGUAGGGCGGGACACGUGGUAUCCUGUCUGAAUAUGGGGGGACCAUCCUCCAAGGCUAAAUACUCCUGACUGACCGAUAGUGAACCAGUACCGUGAGGGAAAGGCGAAAAGAACCCCGGCGAGGGGAGUGAAAAAGAACCUGAAACCGUGUACGUACAAGCAGUGGGAGCACGCUUAGGCGUGUGACUGCGUACCUUUUGUAUAAUGGGUCAGCGACUUAUAUUCUGUAGCAAGGUUAACCGAAUAGGGGAGCCGAAGGGAAACCGAGUCUUAACUGGGCGUUAAGUUGCAGGGUAUAGACCCGAAACCCGGUGAUCUAGCCAUGGGCAGGUUGAAGGUUGGGUAACACUAACUGGAGGACCGAACCGACUAAUGUUGAAAAAUUAGCGGAUGACUUGUGGCUGGGGGUGAAAGGCCAAUCAAACCGGGAGAUAGCUGGUUCUCCCCGAAAGCUAUUUAGGUAGCGCCUCGUGAAUUCAUCUCCGGGGGUAGAGCACUGUUUCGGCAAGGGGGUCAUCCCGACUUACCAACCCGAUGCAAACUGCGAAUACCGGAGAAUGUUAU
rnacentral:rRNA from 1 species